AAUGUCGUAACAAGGUUUCCGUAGGUGAACCUGCGGAAGGAUCAUUACAAAUAAAGCUGGUAGGAAGUGGGGUCUUGAUCUGUAAGUGGUAGAGCGAAGCAGUCCGGCUCGCCUCCCGAAAAUGUCUUACAUGUCCCACCACCGCAUGGCAGGCAUAAUCACCAACCUUGAUUAUCUACACUUGUUGCUUUUCGGGGGAUGCUCAAGGUGCCCCGAGAGGACCCAACUCUCUUGCAUUUUAGUGACGUCUGAGUACUAUAUAAUAUUUGAAAAAG
rnacentral:misc_RNA from 1 species